rnacentral:rRNA from 1 species
AUACGGAGGGGGCAAGCGUUAUUCGGAAUUAUUGGGCGUAAAGGGCGCGUAGGCGGCUUGACAAGUCAAAGGUGAAAUCCCUCGGCCUAACCGAGGAACUGCCUUUGAAACUGUUUGGCUUGAGGCCGGGAGAGGGUGGUGGAAUUCCCAGUGUAGCGGUGAAAUGCGUAGAUAUUUGGAGGAACACCAGUGGCGAAGGCGACCACCUGGACCGGUUCUGACGCUGAGGCGCGAAAGCGUGGGUAGCAAACAGGAUUAGAAACCCCAGUAGUCC